AUGAUCAGCCACAUCGGGACUGAGACACGGCCCGAAACUCCUACGGGGAGGCAGCAGUGGGGAAUAUUGGACAAUGGGGGCAACCCUGAUCCAGCCAUUGCCGCGUGUGUGAAGAAGGCCCUCGGGUUGUAAAGCACUUUCAGCGAGGAAGAACGCCUAUCGGUUAAUACCCGGUAGGAAAGACAUCACUCGCAGAAGAAGCACCGGCUAACUCCGUGCCAGCAGCCGCGGUAAUACGGAGGGUGCAAGCGUUAAUCGGAAUUACUGGGCGUAAAGCGCGCGUAGGUGGCUUGAUAAGCCGGUUGUGAAAGCCCCGGGCUCAACCUGGGAACGGCAUCCGGAACUGUCAAGCUAGAGUGCAGGAGAGGAAGGUAGAAUUCCCGGUGUAGCGGUGAAAUGCGUAGAGAUCGGGAGGAAUACCAGUGGCGAAGGCGGCCUUCUGGACUGACACUGACACUGAGGUGCGAAAGCGUGGGUAGCAAACAGGAUUAGAUACCCUGGUAGUCCACGCCGUAAACGAUGUCGACCAGCCGUUGGGUGCCUAGCGCACUUUGUGGCGAAGUUAACGCGAUAAGUCGACCGCCUGGGGAGUACGGCCGCAAGGUUAAAACUCAAAUGAAUUGACGGGGGCCCGCACAAGCGGUGGAGCAUGUGGUUUAAUUCGAUGCAACGCGAAGAACCUUACCUACUCUUGACAUCCUGCGAAUUCGGUAGAGAUACCUUAGUGCCUUCGGGAACGCAGAGACAGGUGCUGCAUGGCUGUCGUCAGCUCGUGUUGUGAAAUGUUGGGUUAAGUCCCGUAACGAGCGCAACCCUUGUCCUUAUUUGCCAGCACGUAAUGGUGGGAACUCUAAGGAGACUGCCGGUGACAAACCGGAGGAAGGUGGGGACGACGUCAAGUCAUCAUGGCCCUUACGAGUAGGGCUACACACGUGCUACAAUGGCCGGUACAAAGGGUUGCCAACUCGCGAGAGUGAGCGAAUCCCUUAAAGCCGGUCUCAGUCCGGAUCGGAGUCUGCAACUCGACUCCGUGAAGUCGGAAUCGCUAGUAAUCGUGAAUCAGAAUGUCACGGUGAAUACGUUCCCGGGCCUUGUACACACCGCCCGUCACACCAUGGGAGUGGACUGCACCAGAAGUGGUUAGCCUAACGCAAGAGGGCGAUCACCACGGUGUGGUUCAUGACUGGGGUGAAGUCGUAACAAGGUAGCCGUAGGGGAACCUGCGGCUGGAUCACCUCCUUA
rnacentral:rRNA from 1 species